rnacentral:misc_RNA from 1 species
AAGUCGUAACAAGGUUUCCGUAGGUGAACCUGCGGAAGGAUCAUUAUUGAAUGAACUUGGAGUUGGUUGUCGCUGGCUGUCUUUGGCAGCAUGUGCACGCCUUCUCCUUUCAUCCACACACCCCUGUGCACUUGUGAGACUGGAGACCGUAAAAAAGUCUUCAGUCUGCUAAAUUCAUAUACAAACUCAUUUAAUUGAACUGAAUGUACUUGAUGUAACACAUCAUUGAACUAAGUUUCAACAACGGAUCUCUUGGCUCUC